rnacentral:lncRNA from 1 species
ACCUGAUACCUGGCUUGAUGAUACACGAGUAUUUGCAUGUCAAAUAAACAACAAGCAUGUAACAAAAACAUUGGUCCUUCUUCUUCGUUAUUACAAAUACAAUACAGAUAGAUAUACAAUACAUCUUGAAAUCUAUUUGAUUUUUCUCUAAAGAGAAAUCACACCACUAUUGAUUUGCUGUGUAAUGUAUUGGUCUGUCCUUGUUAACAAACAGUAUGUGAUGAAGGUUAUAGCAGAUGAAAGGGGAGGGAGAGAUUGUUUUUGUGUUUUUGGUACUAUGAUAGUUCUUAAUACUAAUAUCUACACUAAAAGGGGCAGCCAAUGCACCACGCUACCACUCAGUGAGAUAUGGGAAGGAUACAUAUUUAUAGUACUGUUUUCAGAAUUUGAACUCGUAAUUUCAUGACCACUAAGCAACAACCUUAUUGCUGCGUCAAGUCCAGUAAAAAUAUAUACACAUAUUGAGAUUAGAAAGAAAGUAAUGAAGAUGGACAGAAAUAUAUAGUCUCAAAGGGAAGGGAGUUUUCCUGGGCGAUCAGCAGCUUGCAAAGUCUUGUUGAUAAGGUUGCGAGCUUUUCUGCUGCGAAUCUCAACCUUCACACUUGCACUUUUGUCAAUCUUCACAUAAGGUUUAUUCUUUGUCUUCUUCUUUAACUUCUUCACCUUUGAUUUUAUAGACUCCAACAGGUUCUCCACUAACUGGUUCGUCAUAUCUAUAGCUACACUUGCACACAGCUACUGUAUAUAUAUAGUGCCUAGUACUUGCUUCUCUUUUUUUAGGUUUCUUAGGUUUAUAACUCCAGCUAGUAUAUCACUCCAUUCUAUUAUUUUGCACUAAACUUGAGUUUUUCUUUGUUGUUGGAUUUGCCAUUUCCUCUUUAUUUAUAAAUGGAGUUCAUAAAUCAAAUGGUCUUUGUUGUGUAUAUAUUCACUAACUUUGCC